rnacentral:siRNA from 1 species
GAACAAGUUAUAUACCGCCACCC